rnacentral:RNase_P_RNA from 1 species
CGAGUGGGCCGGGCAAUCGCGUACGUUCGUGCGAGGAAAGUCCGGGCUCCACAGGGCAAGAUGCCAGCUAACGGCUGGGCGGGGCGACCCGACGGAUCAGUGCCACAGAAAAGAAGACUCCCCUGCUUGCAGGAGAAAAGCUGAAACGGUGCGGUAAGAGCGCACCAGUGCGUUGGCAACAACGUAGCUUGGUAAACCCCAUCUGGAGCAAACGCAAAUAGGAACGCCAGAGGCCCGCCCUGGCCUGCGUUCGGGUUGCGCGCUAGAGCCAUCUGGCGACAGGUGGUCGAGAUAAAUGGUUGCCGAUUACAGAACCCGGCUUAUAGGCUCACUCGCCUU